CACGUAGGGGACGAGCGUUGUCCGGAUUCAUUGGGCGUAAAGCGCGCGUAGGCGGCUCGGAAAGUCGGUCGUGAAAUGCCGGGGCUCAACCCGGGAACUGCGUCCGAUACUGGCAGGCUUGAAUCCGGGAGAGGGAUGUGGAAUUCCAGGUGUAGCGGUGAAAUGCGUAGAUAUCUGGAGGAACACCGGUGGCGAAGGCGGCAUCCUGGACCGGUAUUGACGCUGAGGCGCGAAAGCCAGGGGAGCAAACGGGG
rnacentral:rRNA from 1 species